rnacentral:tRNA from 1 species
GAGGGUAUAGCUCAGUGGUAGAGUGUGUGCUCAGCAUGCAUGAGGUCCUAGGUUCAGUCCCCAGUACCUCCA